UUUUCUUUUUGUGAAAUCCCGCCAGCCAUGGUCACCGUCGGAGCAAACAUCACUGGCGACCACCAACUCCGGCCAGAUCUGGACGGAACUCGCCGGAAAUCCCCAUUAAAAUCGGCGAAAUCCGCAAAUUUCGUUAGCGACAUGGUACUGCCGCCGCGACGCCAUAAAUGAAUCGGUUUCCAAGAUUAAAGAAAUCAUCUUGUGCUCUAGAGACGGGAUUUAGGCGCACUUUAUGUAAUUUCGAAAGUUUUCAAUUUUAUUUGGUAUAUCUCCUGUUGGCAUUGUUUAACGGUUUUCUCUGUAAAGAUUUAAUAUGAAUUAGGAGUAUUUUAUUUUUUUUUUGGGUUUUCUUUCAACUGAAAGAUAAAUUAUCAAUUUAUGGAAAAUGCAAGUGUGACUUACAUCGAUAUGGUUCUUUUGGUUUAUAAAUAGCAAAAAAAAAAAAAAAAUUAAAAAGAAACUUUUUGUUUAAAAUGGACAUGGGUAUCUUUAUAUAUAUUUUUUAUUAUCAUUUGUUUUAUUUUGUUUAUUUUAUAUUUUUCAUUCAUCGUUAUUAAUAAAUUUUGAUAAUUAUUUUAUUAAAUUAGUUAAUUGCUUUAAACAAUUUUCGCUCAAGCUUACUUUUAGAGUUAGGUAACACUCCGAAUAAGUAAUUUUUUAAACGUUAGAUGAAUAUAAAAUAAUUAAUUUUUGUUCUAAUUAAGAAUAUUGCGUACGCAUCUUUUUGAGAAAUUUAAAAAUUCAAGAAUGCAAUAAUGCACAUUGAUAAAUAUUUUUUUAAAAUUAAUUUUUAUUAAUUUAUUUAACAUAAAAUAAUAGACUAGUUUUAAAUAAAAUGAGCGAAUUUAGGCCUUAACAUAAUUAGUCAAAAUAAUUUAAGUUAAGAUAAGUCAAUGAAAGAGACUGCUAGAACCGCGGGACUUGAGAGGUGCCUCACACCUUCCCUUCGGUCAACAGAAUUUCUUAUCUGGUCUUUUAUUUU
rnacentral:lncRNA from 1 species